rnacentral:rRNA from 1 species
GACGAACGCUGGCGGCGUGCUUAACACAUGCAAGUCGAACGGAAAGGCCCUGCUUUUGUGGGGUGCUCGAGUGGCGAACGGGUGAGUAACACGUGAGUAACCUGCCCUUGACUUUGGGAUAACUUCAGGAAACUGGGGCUAAUACCUGAUAUGAGCUCCUGCUGCAUGGUGGGGGUUGGAAAGUUUCGGCGGUUGGGGAUGGACUCGCGGCUUAUCAGCUUGUUGGUGGGGUAGUGGCUUACCAAGGCUUUGACGGGUAGCCGGCCUGAGAGGGUGACCGGCCACAUUGGGAAUGAGAUACGGCCCAGACUCCUACGGGAGGCAGCAGUGGGGAAUAUUGCACAAUGGGCGGAAGCCUGAUGCAGCAACGCCGCGUGCGGGAUGACGGCCUUCGGGUUGUAAACCGCUUUCGCCUGUGACGAAGCGUGAGUGACGGUAAUGGGUAAAGAAGCACCGGCUAACUACGUG